ensembl:snRNA U6 U6 spliceosomal RNA
GUGCUCGCUUCGGUUGCACAUAUACUAAAAUUGGAAUGAUACAGAGAAGAUUAGCAUGGCCCCUGUGCAAGGAUGACAUGCAAAAUUGUGAAGUGUUCCAUAUUUUU